AUAAAUACGAUGAAGAAAAGAGUAUGUAUAAGGAAGUAGUCCCAGCGAGUUGGUGAUAGUGCAAGACCAAUACGAAGCCUGUACAGAAGAACAUUUCUGAGUUCCUAACCGAAAUCCAUAGGAGAGUAGACUUAGGCGGAGCCAAACCGUUAUCCAUUGGACAGUAUCGAGGCAUAUUGGGAUAUCCUUUUUAGAGGUUAUUUUAUUUCUCCGUACUGAUUUGAGAUAGCGAUUGAGCUAAUUAAGGUGGUACCGCGAAAGUCAAGUCUUUCGUCCUUAUU
rnacentral:ncRNA from 1 species